CAGCGGCGGCGACAACGACCCUCCGCGCAGCACGAGGCAGCAAGCGUCGUAAGCCCAGGAAUCCCGGGCCCACCGCGCACCCCCGUCGUCCCCCGCUUCCCCGCGCCACCCCCGAUUCUUCUCCCCGGCGUUCUCUCCUCUAGAUUCUAGAACCUCUUCCUCCGCCCCCAGCCCUUGACCGCACCGCGCCCGCGCGAGACCAGGGGGGUCCGGCGCCACCGCCGGGGGUUCAGGACGGCGAUGGAGCUGGGCCUGAGCCUGGCCUCGGCCUCGCCGCCGGCGGGCGGGCUGGCGCCUCCGCCGCCCCUAGCGCCUCCAGGGAAGGAGCAGCAGGUGGCCGGCGUGGGGAUCCUGCUGCAGAUCUCCAUGCUCGUGCUCUCCUUCGUGCUCGGGCACGUCCUGCGCCGCCACCGCUUCUACUACCUGCCCGAGGCCAGCGCCUCGCUCCUCAUCGGUCUAGUUGUUGGUGGCCUUGCUAACAUUUCAAAUACAGAGACCAACACUAGGACAUGGUUCAACUUCCAUGAAGAAUUCUUCUUCCUGUUCUUAUUACCUCCGAUAAUAUUUCAAUCAGGAUUCAGCUUAUCUCCGAAACCAUUCUUUGCAAACUUUGGGGCUAUCGUAACUUUCGCCAUUCUUGGGACGUUGAUUGCUUCAGUUGUAACAGGGGUUCUUGUCUAUCUUGGCGGACUGACAUUUCUAAUGUAUAAACUUCCACUGGUUGAGUGCCUUAUGUUCGGUGCCCUUAUAUCUGCAACCGAUCCUGUCACAGUGCUAUCGAUAUUCCAGGAACUGGGUUCUGAUGUUAACUUGUAUGCUUUGGUGUUUGGAGAAUCUGUUUUGAAUGAUGCGAUGGCAAUUUCUCUUUACAGGACAAUGUCAUCAGUCAGAAGUCAUGCAGCAGUCGGCGAGAACUUUUUUAUGAUGAUUCUCCAGUUCCUUGAAACCUUUGUUGGUUCAAUGUCAUCAGGUGUAGGAGUUGGAUUUAUCUCUGCUCUUCUUUUCAAAUAUGCUGGAUUGGAUGUUGACAAUCUGCAAAAUUUGGAGUGCUGCCUUUUUGUUCUCUUUCCAUAUUUCUCGUAUAUGUUAGCCGAAGGACUUGGGUUGUCAGGGAUUGUUUCUAUAUUAUUCACGGGAAUGGUUAUGAAGCAUUACACAUACUCCAAUCUUUCAGACAAUUCACAGCGCUUUGUUUCUGCCUUUUUCCACUUACUGUCAUCUUUGGCUGAAACAUUUGUGUUCAUUUAUAUGGGCUUCGAUAUUGCCAUGGAAGAGCAUAGCUGGUCACAUGUUGGCUUCAUCUUCUUUUCAAUUAUAUUUAUAGUUGUUGCAAGGGCUGUAAAUGUCUUUUCUUGUGCAUACUUGGUUAACAUGUCUAGGCCAGAACAUCGCCGUAUUCCUCUAAAGCAUCAGAAAGCACUUUGGUUUAGCGGGCUUAGAGGGGCCAUGGCUUUUGCACUUGCUCUCCAAUCUGUGCAUGAACUUCCUGAAGGACAUGGAAAAACAAUAUUCACCACCACUACAGCCAUUGUUGUGUUGACGGUACUUCUUAUUGGAGGGUCGACGGGAACUAUGCUUGAAGCUUUGGAUGUUGUUGGAGAUGAAAACCCAUCAAUAGAAACUUAUGAAGACAACAAUGGUUUCAUGCCUCCAACUUAUGAAGAAGGUACAUCAUCUGGGGGAGGAUUGAGAAUGAAACUCAAACAGUUUCACAAAAGCACGACGUCAUUCACUGCCCUUGACAAAAACUACCUGACUCCAUUUUUCACCAGCCAGACUGACGAUGACGACGACGAUGACUUCAGUUAGUGACUUAUUUUGCUUAUCAAAUGUAAAGUAAACGAGAUCGAACCCAGGCUAUAUAAAUCAAUAAUUUGUGUGCAACUUGUUACUUGUACGGCAUUAUCAUCUUCGGAAUCUGGUGUCUGCUACAUCUUCUCAGUGGGCAACCCCAAAACCGGCGAGUAAGAUUCUAUGAUCAAUAACAGAUUUUGGGCUUCCACCUAUCAAGCUAAAUACACGGAGCACAACUGAUGGCAUGAUGGUGUUCAAGUAUAGGAGCAUCCUUACCUGAGUAGCAUAUGGCAGAAGAUAUCUGUAUACCGUAGGUCAGAAAUCAUAAGGCUCAAAUCAACUCUUAUGGGGAUGAGGAUAGCCGGGCCGCAUGUAUAUAUGUCUCUAGGCCUCCUUGAGAACUUGGUGGAGCUCCAGAUGAAAUGCAGGGUUUUUCUGGAAAUUUGUCUGGUUGUAGCCUUUACGUUAUGUUAAUUUUAAUAACCCAGACAUUAUGAUCGUAAAGUGGCAGAUUGCAGCAGGCAGUCUCACUGGCUGAAGUACAGUGCCAUUCAUCCAA